GAGACGUCAUGCCGGAGAAUUAUGAGAAUGUGACCUCACUGGGGUUUCCAGUUUCCCAACCUGAUGUGAUCUCCCAGCAGGAACAAGGGGAAGAGCCAUGGGUCCCAGACCUCCAGGGUUCAGAGGAAAGAGCGAUCCUGAGAGUUCCCUGCACAGAUGAGGAAACAUUAAACCAACUCAGAAUCUAUCAAGCCUUUCUGUUCAUCUGAGAAUCCACACAGGGGACCGGCCAUACGAAUGCAGAG